CUCGUCGGCCAUAGGAGACAGGGAAACACCCGGACUCAUUCCGAACCCGGAAGUUAAGCCUGUCUCCGUUACGUGCUCCGUAAGGCCGCAAGGCCUUGCAGGGCACGUAAGCCGACGAGG
rnacentral:rRNA from 2 species